AUUGAACGCUGGCGGCAUGCCUUACACAUGCAAGUCGAACGGCAGCACGGGAGCAAUCCUGGUGGCGAGUGGCGAACGGGUGAGUAAUACAUCGGAACGUACCUGGUAGUGGGGGAUAGCCCGGCGAAAGCCGGAUUAAUACCGCAUACGACCUGAGGGUGAAAGCGGGGGAUCGCAAGACCUCGCGCUAUUGGAGCGGCCGAUGGCAGAUUAGGUAGUUGGUGGGGUAAAGGCCUACCAAGCCUACGAUCUGUAGCUGGUUUGAGAGGACGACCAGCCACACGGGGACUGAGACACGGCCCAGACUCCUACGGGAGGCAGCAGUGGGGAAUUUUGGACAAUGGGCGCAAGCCUGAUCCAGCCAUGCCGCGUGCGGGAAGAAGGCCUUCGGGUUGUAAACCGCUUUUGUCAGGGAAGAAAUACUCUGGGCUAAUACCCUGGGGUGAUGACGGUACCUGAAGAAUAAGCACCGGCUAACUACGUGCCAGCAGCCGCCGUAA
rnacentral:rRNA from 1 species